rnacentral:rRNA from 1 species
UGGGUAACCUGCCCGGAAGUGGGGAAUACCUCGGGGAAACUCGAGCUAAUACCGCAUGACAUCUUCGGGACGAAGGUCCUGACAAUCAAAGCGGGGUCGCAAGAUCUCGCGCUACCGGAUGGGCCCGCGCCCGAUUAGCUAGUUGGUGAGGUAACGGCUCACCAAGGCAACGAUGCGUAGCCGACCUGAGAGGGUGAUCGGCCACAUUGGAACUGAGACACGGUCCAGACUCCUAGGAGG